UACGUAGGGGGCAAGCGUUGUCCGGAUUUAUUGGGCGUAAAGCGCGUGUAGGCGGCCCGAUAAGUCCGCCGUGAAAGCCCAGGGCUCAACCCUGGGAUGCCGGUGGAAACUGUCGGGCUAGAGUCCGGAAGAGGCGAGUGGAAUUCCUGGUGUAGCGGUGAAAUGCGCAGAUAUCAGGAGGAACACCGAUGGCGAAGGCAGCUCGCUGGGACGGUACUGACGCUGAGGCGCGAAAGCGUGGGGAGCGAACAGG
rnacentral:rRNA from 1 species